GUUUGAAUAUUUUACGCGUGACGUUUCCGUCAGUGUAACUCGAAACACGUAAGUGUACGUACCUGUACGCUGUAAGUGUGAAUUCCUACUGACAAGAAAUUGUUCGUUGCCGAACUUCCCUUGCGAGCGAAAACAUGCUUGUUUGAACAACAACGUGUCAGAGACGAACGAAGAUUUUUGCAGAAUCACUGCGUGAAAAUGGAUGCUUCAUAGACACCUUUUUAACUUCCGGCGAGCGAAGCGGUGUCUCUGCAAGAAGAGGGAGAAACGAUCGGAUUCUCUCAAGCCUCCUGACUGUUCCCUCGAAUGAAUUUCCAUACAAAGAACAACCUCGACAACCCCAUAGUAGAAUUAUCAAACGACUUCACCUUGCUAAACAACGAAAUCGCUUUAAAAUACCAAGAGAGAACGAGCGAUAAAAGGGGCCAAAAUGUUGAAUGGCCAAACAAGAGAGGUCUAUGGCGACGAUAGCAAAGAGUAAAAGUGGAAGUAGAAAGACUGCUUCAAGAAGGGUUAAACUUCGUUUUAGGAAGUACCUGAAAUUUUUCAUCUAUUUCUCUCUGUAUCCUGAUUUGAUUACUUGACUAGAUCUAAACACGUAAAGUUAUUUAAGAUAUAUAAAAAAAAAAUCAGUUUUAAGUUCAAGAUAUAUCAUAAAAUAUAAAAGUGUGUGUAGUUUGUAAAAAUAUAAAUUUUGUGAUUUCAAUU